rnacentral:misc_RNA from 1 species
GAUGAAGAACGCAUUGAAAUGCGAUAAGUAGUGUGAAUUGCAGAAUUCAGUGAAUCAUCGAAUCUUUGAACGCACAUUGCGCCCCUUGGUAUCCCGAGGGGCAUGCCUGUUCGAGCGUCAUUUCACCACUCAAGCCUGGCUUGGUGUUGGGCGACGUCCCCUUUAGGGACGCGCCUCGAAACGCUCGGCGGCGCGGCACCGGCUUUAAGCGUAGCAGAAUCUUUCGCUUUGGAAGUCGGGGCCCCGCCUGCCGGAAUACCUACUUGUAAGGUUGACCUCGGAUCAGGCAGGGAUACCCGCUGAACUUAAGCAUAUCAAUAAGCGGAGGA